ensembl:lncRNA
GUUCUUUUGAUGUGCAAAGAUUUCAUAUUCUACAUUUCAUAUUCUUUUCAUAUUUUCACAUUUACAUUCAAAAGAUGAUCUUAUAAAGUUAGACACAUUUUUGGUAAAAUAUAUACUUUAUUUAUUCAUACAAAGAAAUAGUUUGAAUGUUCAGCAUUUCAUUAUUUAAAAACAUUUCUUCCAUUUUGCUCUUUCACUGUGUCAAAUUCCUUUGAUGUACAAGAUGCCACAAAAUACUUGAUGUCCAUGUUCCUUUUCAUUUUUAAACACACCGAAUCUGCUAAACCUCUAAAUAUGAAUCACAUUAUACACAGACGGGGUGUGAAAGACAAACAACCCUAGCAUUAUAUUUUGUAGAUCUCUAAAAGGGUUGAAUAAAACUCAACCAGAACGGAUACAGCAGCGUGGAUCGUGACCAUGAGUGCAAGCUUUUGAGAUAGCGUUUCCUUUCGGACCGAUCCUAUUUCCUAUAAAGUGCACUACUUUUCACCAGAGCCCUGUAGGCCUUGGUCAAAAGUAGUGCACUAAAUAAGGAAUAGAGUGCCAUUUAGGAUGCACACCUACUCUCUUAGUAACAUGAAUAACACCAUAAUUCCAAUGCAUUAGUGGGACUGUAAAUGUAACAGAGGGCAACAGCCCCAGACUCCUUUACUCCAACCGUUACAGGGAGAAAGAUUGACAUUACUCAGAUUCAGAAUUUCCUGCUCUAUACAAAGGCCAUUUUAAAUGUUUUCAACAAACAUUGCACUAUAAGGAGAGAAGGGGAGGUUGAGGCGUUGUCCAUAUAGGCAUGAUCAUUGAAAACAGGUGUAAAUUCCUUGGUGGUAAAAGCCACUAUGUGAAUAAGGGACCAGUAAAAUGCUGGGACAACCCAUCAUCUCCACUAAUACCAUCCACUGGUUUGAGAUUUUUAAAAAUCUACCUUCAUAACUGGUUCCACACUGUUGAAAUGAGAUGGAGGUUGGGUAUUUGAAUUAGACUGUUUAGCAACAUUUUCUUAAAACUUGAAAAAAGUACCAUACUGUCACUUCUUUUUUUGAUAUACUUUUAAAUUGCCAAUAGUCAGUAACAGACACUUUCAACUUUGCAUUUGAUUGGAGGGAAUUUAAUAUGUAGUUUGUAGGGGAAAGAAUGUGCAUAUUCACUCUGGGUCCCUCCACACUCAGCCGUUUUAGGCUUACCACCCAAAUGGUCUCCUAUUCACUAUGGGCCCUGGUCACAAGUAGUACACUGUAGGGAAUAGGGUGCAUAUUCAGCAGUUUUACAAUCCAAAGAGGAUAGGAUGGCUUUGAAGUAGCCCCUACCUGCGAGAGUAUGGGCCAGCAUAA